rnacentral:lncRNA from 1 species
GGAAAACUGUCGUAAAAGGGGACGCGGAGGAGAAGGAAAGUCGCUCAAGCAGUGGACAGAGCGGAGAAAGCGACUUCGGGUCUGCUGGAGUUUGCUGGAGGUGCACUCCAGACUCUGUUUGCCUGCCUAUCACCAACAGAGGCUGCAGAACAGCAAAGAUUGCUGUCUGUAACUUCCUCUGGAAGCUUCAUCCCAGAGGGGCACCUGCCAGAUGCCAGCCGGAGCUCUCCUCUAUGAGUGAAUGAAGGAGGGAAGAAAGGAGAGACAGAGAAAAUAUGGGAAGUAUGCAGCUGGCAUCAGAAGCUGGAAGAUAGGAUCUUCCCGGAUCACAGCUCCUGUUCAGAAAGUCUGAGGAUGUCAGACUGAGACUGUUGAGUCUGAGGAUGUCAGACUGAGAUUGUUGAGUCUCAGGAUGUUGCAGGACAGGAUGGAUGAAGAAUGCUAGUCCUGGCAGUUGGGGCCUAAGGCCAGGGCCCUUUUUUAUCACUUUCUUGUGUUGCCUCUCUGCCCAAGAAAAAAUCUGUCUCUUGCAUACAGCUCCUCUAAUACGUGUCCAUUAGAAGGAAGGAGUUUCUUUAAUGAGCUCUAUGGUUUUAUCUUGCUCAUAACAGCUUAGUUUAAUGCCACUGAAACUGUAACAUUUUUUUGUGCCUAAUAUCAACUGACAAAUAUAAAGUUAUUCCUAAUUUAUUAAUUCAAAUGAUAUAUUGCAAAAUAAAAUCUGCUUAAUAUGAAAA